ACAGUAAUUUCUCCCUAAAAAAAGUUUAGAAUGCAUCAGUUAUAUUGCUGAUAUGGUGUCCCCAAUCAAUCACAUUAUCCUCUUAGAUUCACCUGUUCUAUCAUAAUUAAUAAAAAAAUAGGAUAAACUUCAAAUACCACCCAUGUGGCUUCGUACUUUCUCACUUUAGUAUUUUGUGGUUUAAAAUAUAUAAAGUUAUUACCAUAUGGUUCCUCCAUUAAUAUUUGUUAAAUUAUAUACAAAAAACUUUAGAUACCCCACCUAGGUUUAUCGAAUUUUAACUUUGUCACCCUUUAGUUUUAACUCUGUCAUGAAUUUAACGAAAAAAAAAUUAAUGGAAUGAAUAAUAAAAGAAGAAAAAUAAAAUCAUAGGGUACUAAAGUAAAAAAAGUACGAAACCACGGAAAUAAUAUUUGAAGGUUUUUCAAAAAAAUAUUUUUAUUUUAUUUUUCUCUAGAGUAAAAGAAAAUAUGAUGUUGGUUGCUGAUUACGUGAUGUGUAAGCGUUGAAAGGUACACUUCCUCCGUGGACGUGGGGGAGGCCGGAUUAAUUCGCCGGUCGGCGAUAAUUGAGUGCUGUUGGUUGUUGCAGAAGGCGGACAAAUUUGACCCGUAAGCCUUCUCUAUCAGAAUUAAUGCCUUCGGCUUCAACCGAAUGAUUGGAGUCGCAGGUAUUUCGAGUUGCAACAAUCAAAAUAUGCGCAAGUUAAUAAAACCAACACUAUUGGAACUCCACUCAAAUAAAAUAACAAUCUAAUCAUGCGGGGUAAUAAAAUGUGCUGCACAAUUAACUCCCGAUAUCACAUUGUCGGCCGCCAACGUGAUCCCCGCGAAGUUAGAAAUUGUAGCACGGAGGACUUGAACUUAAUUAAGAGCUUAAUUAGGCAUAGCUUCACAAAGAGAUCACCCCCGUACCGACCACCCAGCAACGUAGACUUAAUUAAUGCAUGGCUUCUUAAUUUUGUCGCUCUGCGGCUUCAUUAACACAAGUUUAAUUGGAAUUCUAAUCUAAUUAGAUUUCUAAACACAAGUUUAAUAUUAGAUUCCGACUCAUAAUCCAUAUAUGCCAAUUUAUAUUCAAUCCCAAUUAGAUUAUAAUUUAACUCUAAUUUAGGUAACUACAAAUCAAACCAAAUUUAACAAAUAAAGAAGUAUUUAAGCGGAGAUUUUAGGGGAGUAGUCCUCUUCCAAAUUUUUAUUUUAAAACUAGACCUACUAAAUUUUUAUUUGUAAAUAUAGUCUUAUGAUAGAGAGAGAAAAAAAUAUUAAUAAAAGCGGCGAAUGAUUCACCGCAUUUGUUAAAUUUUACCGUCUUAUAAAAGCGGUGAACGGUUUACCGCUUUUAAAAGCGGUAAACCUUUUCUUCCUUCUUUUAUGUCUCUGUAACGAUAUUGGGAAGAGUUAUAAAAGCGGUGAAUGAUUCACCGCAUUUAAAUACGGUGACUCAUUCACCGCCUAUAUUAUUUAUUUUUUGAAAAACUCAAUUUAAUAUAUUGGAGGUCUAUUUUUAUAAUUAUUUUUUUUUAAAGAUUAAUUUUAUAAUUAUAAAAAUCGGUAGGAUUAUUUAUAAAAAAAAUUUCUCUUUAAGCACUAUGUGGCAGUAAUAAUUUCUCCCUCUGUACAAUAGCAGUGGCGCGCACAGGGCGCGUUUAAAAUUUGAUUGUCAAACUGCAUGUCCGACCAAAAUGCUUUCACAUGUAAUGUCCUCCAAAACGCAUUAUAUUUUCUCCCCUCUUCCGAGAAGAAUACAAGAAAGUACUUUUCGUGGAUCUUUCUUUGAUGCCUGCGCGCCAUUGUAUCUAUCUACUCGGCUGAUUGUUUCGACAUCUCGCUUUCCUCAUCCUCUAAUUUAUGCACUCUCGGUGUUUCAUCAAUUUGGCCUGAGUGGUGGUGAAGCCGAAUAUGGCUUUAACCUUCAUAGCCGAAACGGCGGCGACGGUGAUCAUCGAGAAUCUUGUCAGCAGGUGCUUUUCCUACCUCGAGGCGUGCCCGGCAGCUGGCGGCAUGCAGGACGAGCUCGAACAGCUGCAGCACGCCCUUCCGCAGGUCCAGGCAGUCUUGACUGCGGUCGAGGAGGGUGCGCCGGUCGUGGUGCGGAAGACGGCGCUGGAUACGUGGCUGUGGCAGCUUAGAGACGCCGUGGAGAACGCGGAGGACGUGCUCGACGAGCUCGACUACUACGAGUUACAGAAGACUGACAAGGUGCGUGGUAUUCUAUCUGACCGCAUGAGAAUGUCUGAUAGUUUCGUUAAUGGUAUCUUUAGCGAUGACACACUGAAGCGGUUGAGGGAGGCCGUCAAGGGGCUGGGUCGGGUCAUUGCCGAUAUGGGCUCACUCCUUCAUCUCGUUACUGGGUUUUAUGGCCCCGGCGCUAAGAGUCAGAAACUCGAGGAAAUUAAGAAUGCUCGCGAGACUAGCUCCUUGUUGACCGAAAGUGAGGUGCUCGGACGAGAGGAGGAGAGGGACCUAAUAGUUGAAUGGCUGAUCAAACCAGGAGAUGCUGACAUCGAUCUCUCUGCUUUUACAAUUGUUGGUAUGGGUGGGCUCGGGAAGACUACUCUUGCUCAACUAAUAUGUCAUGACAAAAGAGUGCGAGAGUACUUCGACCUGAUUAUGUG
rnacentral:lncRNA from 1 species